rnacentral:rRNA from 1 species
UACGUAGGGUGCAAGCGUUGUCCGGAAUUAUUGGGCGUAAAGAGCUCGUAGGCGGUUUGUCGCGUCUGCCGUGAAAGGUCCGGGGCUCAACUCCGGAUCUGCGGUGGGUACGGGCAGACUAGAGUGAUGUAGGGGAGACUGGAAUUCCUGGUGUAGCGGUGGAAAUGCGCAGAUAUCAGGAGGAACACCGAUGGCGAAGGCAGAUCUCUGGGCCGUAACUGACGCUGAGGAGCGAAAGCAUGGGGAGCGAACAGG